rfam:Myotis davidii contig33048, whole genome shotgun sequence.
GACAGUUCUCAGGUGACACACCCCGGAAUCGGGCUCCUUCCUCUCUGGUUCCAGGUGCAUCACCCUAGAACUGCA